ensembl:lncRNA
GUUCCCCAUGCCUGGGAGCAGCUGACCUCCUCCAGGCCCCUCUGACACACCUUGGAGCCAGCAGAUGACGGACUGUACCCAAGUCCCAGAAUAAACCUCUCCUUCAAGCUGUGGGUGUCAGGUUUUUCCUCUCAGUGACAAGAAAAUGAGUAAGAUGAGCGUCCCAUGUUUCAUGCUGUUUGUGAAGUAAUUUAGCUCACAUCCUGGAAGUUCUAUUGGGAAGGCGUUGGAUUCCGUUAUAUUCCUCUGAACAGUCUUCUUGUUGUUGUGAUGUUGUGAAGCGGGAAAUUGAGUUGCUUGGGCUGAGUCUUCAAACAGCCUCCCCUGGAAGUCAAGGCAGGGGAUGUGUGGCUUUUUGUUGGAUUCAUCUCUCAAUCUUUUUGAUCUUCUGAAGCUCUUAUUUAGAGAGAAAUUUUCCUGAAAGAUAAUAAGAUGGAAAAGCUGGUACCCAUUUUCUCUCUGGCAUUCCAGCUGCCAAUCCACCAAUUUGCCUGUGGUUUGAGGACUUCCUGCUACAUUCCUGCCCUGAUUAAGCAAGAAUCUACUCAGACCCUUUGUGAGACUGUAAAUUGCCCAGGCCGCAGGCAGGAGGACAGAGCGAGCCCAGCCACCACUGCUAUAGUGCACUAAUUUCCUCAUCAGACCCAGCCCCGCCCUGGGCCUGCGCCCGACCUGGGAGCAAUGGCUGAAAAACUCGGCCUCCUCCAGCUUUACAGACUUCAUGGCUGGAAUGGAGAAAGCAAGGGAAGCCAAGCUGUUUACUGCGACUCUGCCCAGCCUCGCUCCAACAAAUUCUUUCCAGCUAGCUUUAAAAGAGUUCACAGUGAGCGGGUGGAUAAAGACCCUGCAGCAGGCUGGUUCAGGAACAACUCGAUUGCCAGCCAGGCCGAGGAGAGGAGGGAGCAGCUUGGGGCGACCGCAGCUCCGUAUGGGGUGGAAGUGUCUGGAAGUCUUCCAAGAGCAGAAACUGUGGCCCCUCUCCUGUGCAGCCUGAGGGGCUUGGGGGCCCAGGGGGCCCAGAUGCCUUGGUGGAAACACCCCGCUUCUCAGCCAUCUCAGCUCCAGCCAUGGCCCUAGCCUUCGCCUGGCUUUCUCGUGGCCAGAGAGCAUAACAUGCAGGAAAGCCAUGUGGAGACUCACGGAGAUCCUCCUGCCUCAGCCUCCUGAGUGCUGGGAUCACAUCCUGCACCACCACACCCAGCGCUGCCUCUUUCUCUCCGCACAGGGCGGCACUAACACACUCAGUGACAGCGCUUCAGCCUCAGUCCAGAGCUCACUUUGGGGAGAGAACUCAGUCCCUGGCCCGGGGCACACCAGAGACUCCAGCCCCUGCCCCGCGGCCCUUCCACCUCAAGGCUGGCCCAUGACACAGUGUGUGUCUCUGUCCCUCCCCUUAGCAGCCCAAGUUCCCAUCUCACUCUCUCCACGUCUUUCCUGGAAGGAAGCCCGGCUCCAAGAACCCGGGUGCCAGAGCCCAGUGCACCGGGAAGUGGGGUACUGAGGGCAGGGGGUAAAGUCAGACAGGCUCCACCUCCCAGCCCUUGGAGACACUGAGGUAUAAAGGUGGAAAGUCAAGGCAGCCCUGGUAGCGCAUACCUGUAAUCUCAGCCCGUAGGAGGUCUUUUUAAAUUUUUGAGACAAGCUCUCGCUAAAUCGCUAAGUUCCUCCU